rnacentral:rRNA from 1 species
AGCGUACACGGUGGAUGCCCUGGCAGUCAGAGGCGAUGAAGGACGUGCUAAUCUGCGAUAAGCGUCGGUGAGGUGAUAUGAACCGUUAUAACCGGCGAUUUCCGAAUGGGGAAACCCAGUGUGUUUCGACACACUAUCAUUAACUGAAUCCAUAGGUUAAUGAGGCGAACCGGGGGAACUGAAACAUCUAAGUACCCCGAGGAAAAGAAAUCAACCGAGAUUCCCCCAGUAGCGGCGAGCGAACGGGGAGGAGCCCAGAGCCUGAAUCAGUGUGUGUGUUAGUGGAAGCGUCUGGAAAGGCGCGCGAUACAGGGUGACAGCCCCGUACACAAAAAUGCACAUACUGUGAGCUCGAUGAGUAGGGCGGGACACGUGGUAUCCUGUCUGAAUAUGGGGGGACCAUCCUCCAAGGCUAAAUACUCCUGACUGACCGAUAGUGAACCAGUACCGUGAGGGAAAGGCGAAAAGAACCCCGGCGAGGGGAGUGAAAAAGAACCUGAAACCGUGUACGUACAAGCAGUGGGAGCCUCUUAAUGGGGUGACUGCGUACCUUUUGUAUAAUGGGUCAGCGACUUAUAUUCUGUAGCAAGGUUAACCGAAUAGGGGAGCCGAAGGGAAACCGAGUCUUAACUGGGCGUUAAGUUGCAGGGUAUAGACCCGAAACCCGGUGAUCUAGCCAUGGGCAGGUUGAAGGUUGGGUAACACUAACUGGAGGACCGAACCGACUAAUGUUGAAAAAUUAGCGGAUGACUUGUGGCUGGGGGUGAAAGGCCAAUCAAACCGGGAGAUAGCUGGUUCUCCCCGAAAGCUAUUUAGGUAGCGCCUCGUGAAUUCAUCUCCGGGGGUAGAGCACUGUUUCGGCAAGGGGGUCAUCCCGACUUACCAACCCGAUGCAAACUGCGAAUACCGGAGAAUGUUAUCACGGGAGACACACGGCGGGUGCUAACGUCCGUCGUGAAGAGGGAAACAACCCAGACCGCCAGCUAAGGUCCCAAAGUCAUGGUUAAGUGGGAAACGAUGUGGGAAGGCCCAGACAGCCAGGAUGUUGGCUUAGAAGCAGCCAUCAUUUAAAGAAAGCGUAAUAGCUCACUGGUCGAGUCGGCCUGCGCGGAAGAUGUAACGGGGCUAAACCAUGCACCGAAGCUGCGGCAGCGACACUGUGUGUUGUUGGGUAGGGGAGCGUUCUGUAAGCCUGCGAAGGUGUGCUGUGAGGCAUGCUGGAGGUAUCAGAAGUGCGAAUGCUGACAUAAGUAACGAUAAAGCGGGUGAAAAGCCCGCUCGCCGGAAGACCAAGGGUUCCUGUCCAACGUUAAUCGGGGCAGGGUGAGUCGACCCCUAAGGCGAGGCCGAAAGGCGUAGUCGAUGGGAAACAGGUUAAUAUUCCUGUACUUGGUGUUACUGCGAAGGGGGGACGGAGAAGGCUAUGUUGGCCGGGCGACGGUUGUCCCGGUUUAAGCGUGUAGGCUGGUUUUCCAGGCAAAUCCGGAAAACCAAGGCUGAGGCGUGAUGACGAGGCACUACGGUGCUGAAGCGACAAAUGCCCUGCUUCCAGGAAAAGCCUCUAAGCAUCAGGUAACAUCAAAUCGUACCCCAAACCGACACAGGUGGUCAGGUAGAGAAUACCAAGGCGCUUGAGAGAACUCGGGUGAAGGAACUAGGCAAAAUGGUGCCGUAACUUCGGGAGAAGGCACGCUGAUAUGUAGGUGAAGCGACUUGCUCGUGGAGCUGAAAUCAGUCGAAGAUACCAGCUGGCUGCAACUGUUUAUUAAAAACACAGCACUGUGCAAACACGAAAGUGGACGUAUACGGUGUGACGCCUGCCCGGUGCCGGAAGGUUAAUUGAUGGGGUUAGCGGCAACGCGAAGCUCUUGAUCGAAGCCCCGGUAAACGGCGGCCGUAACUAUAACGGUCCUAAGGUAGCGAAAUUCCUUGUCGGGUAAGUUCCGACCUGCACGAAUGGCGUAAUGAUGGCCAGGCUGUCUCCACCCGAGACUCAGUGAAAUUGAACUCGCUGUGAAGAUGCAGUGUACCCGCGGCAAGACGGAAAGACCCCGUGAACCUUUACUAUAGCUUGACACUGAACAUUGAGCCUUGAUGUGUAGGAUAGGUGGGAGGCUUUGAAGUGUGGACGCCAGUCUGCAUGGAGCCGACCUUGAAAUACCACCCUUUAAUGUUUGAUGUUCUAACGUUGGCCCCUAAUCGGGGUUGCGGACAGUGUCUGGUGGGUAGUUUGACUGGGGCGGUCUCCUCCUAAAGAGUAACGGAGGAGCACGAAGGUUGGCUAAUCCUGGUCGGACAUCAGGAGGUUAGUGCAAUGGCAUAAGCCAGCUUGACUGCGAGCGUGACGGCGCGAGCAGGUGCGAAAGCAGGUCAUAGUGAUCCGGUGGUUCUGAAUGGAAGGGCCAUCGCUCAACGGAUAAAAGGUACUCCGGGGAUAACAGGCUGAUACCGCCCAAGAGUUCAUAUCGACGGCGGUGUUUGGCACCUCGAUGUCGGCUCAUCACAUCCUGGGGCUGAAGUAGGUCCCAAGGGUAUGGCUGUUCGCCAUUUAAAGUGGUACGCGAGCUGGGUUUAGAACGUCGUGAGACAGUUCGGUCCCUAUCUGCCGUGGGCGCUGGAGAACUGAGGGGGGCUGCUCCUAGUACGAGAGGACCGGAGUGGACGCAUCACUGGUGUUCGGGUUGUCAUGCCAAUGGCACUGCCCGGUAGCUAAAUGCGGAAGAGAUAAGUGCUGAAAGCAUCUAAGCACGAAACUUGCCCCGAGAUGAGUUCU